rfam:Schistosoma mansoni, Puerto Rico, WGS project CABG01000000 data, contig: 0062
GCACUGCUGAUGAGUCCCAUAAUAGGACGAAACGGCCGUCCAGUGC